rnacentral:rRNA from 1 species
UACGGAGGGGGCUAGCGUUGCUCGGAAUUACUGGGCGUAAAGGGCGUGUAGGCGGCCUGCCAAGUCAGAUGUGAAAGCCACGGGCUUAACCUGGGUACUGCAUUUGAGACUGGCCGGCUCGAGGUUGGAAGAGGGGAGUGGAAUUCCCAGUGUAGAGGUGAAAUUCGUAGAUAUUGGGAAGAACACCGGUGGCGAAGGCGGCUCUCUGGUCCACACCUGACGCUGAGGCGCGAAAGCGUGGGGAGCAAACAGG